rnacentral:rRNA from 1 species
AAGAGACAGCAGUAGCCGCGGGAAUACAGAGGGUGCGAGCGUUAAUCGGAUUUACUGGGCGUAAAGCGUGCGUAGGCGGCUAAUUGAGUCGGAUGUGAAAUCACCGAGCUUAACUUGGGAAUUGCAUUCGAUACUGGUUAGCUAGAGUGUGGGAGAGGAUGGUAGAAUUCAAGGUGUAGCGGUGAAAUGCGUAGAGAUCUGGAGGAAUACCGAUGGCGAAGGCAGCCAUCUGGCCUAACACUGACGCUGAGGUACGAAAGCAUGGGGAGCAAACAGGAUUAGAUACCCCAGUAGUCCCUGUCUCUUAUAC